GGUCCCAUAGCUCAGUUGGUCAGAGCGUCGUACUAAUAUUCUCCUCUAAUGCAGAGGAAAUGUUGAGUAAUGCGAAGGCCGAGAGUUCAAGCCUCUCUGGGACCA
rnacentral:tRNA from 1 species